GUUCUGUCCCUUAGGAUUCUUGCUCCUGAACCCCAGCAAUGAGGAAGAACAAGUGACCCCAUAGACAAGCCCAUGUGAAAAGAAACAACCAUCCAACAACUUGCUACCCAUGUAUAAAACUGUAUGUCAGCAAAAAGUGACUGACAAGAAGAAAAGAGUUAAACCUGAGAGACCUAAUGCAUAAGAGAAUGUUGGAGAGAUUUUAUUUUCCUUUGUCACAGAUGGGAGAAAUUUGAAGAGGACUAAUGGUUUAGAGAACAUUCCUAUAUACUAUAAAAUCUGGAGACCUGCCCAUUAGAAUCUGUAUCUGUGCCCAUAAAAGAUCUACAUCUUGAAAUCAAA